UGAACACAUUUAUUCAAUUUCCAACAAUCACCAAUUAGAAAUGGGCUUAAAUGACAAUACAAAGAAAGCUAUAAGCAAACAUUUUGACAGGGGGAUGUGAAGAAUUAGAACAAACUGCUUAGGAAACUACAGUGUGUGCCUGUGUUUGUGUCGUGUGUGUGUGUGUGUGUGUGUGUGUGUGCAGAUACUGUCUCUUUACACACAGAAGUACAAUGCUUGCAUCUUGGUACACAGACUUUGUGAUAGGUUUUUUUCCUUGUCAUGAGCCUUUUUGCCAUGAAGGAGCCAGUAUGGGAAAGUGGUUAAGAACAUGAGAUCUUAAGUCAAAUUCCUGGGGUCUGAAUCCCGACUCUCCAUCAUUAGUUGUGUGACACAUGCAAAGGACUUAUCACUGAGAAUGGCACAUGAGUAGGCCAGCAGGCACUCAGGGAGGAUAAGCCACACACACAUAUACAUACGUGCUUUUUUCUUCUAUCUGGCUGCAUUCUCAAGAGCUGGAGUUUUGCAGUUUUAAAACCUCUAAAUACUUUUAGGAUUCAAACUGCCAUUUUCUGCAUAGUUUCUUGUAUAACCUUUCCUGUUCCCAAAUCUCAGUUCUCUAUGAUCCUCCACCUACCAAAUGCCUCCAUGGUAGCCACACAGAAAUUCUGGAGAUGAAAUGAUACUUUCUUGCCCUUUUAAAACCCACUGCCAUGGUCUGAAAGUUUAUGGUCCCCUCAAAAUUCAUAUGUUAAAAUCCUAAUUCCCAGGGAGAUGGUAUUAGAAGGUGGGGUCUUUGGGAGGUGACUAUUUCAUGAGAGUAGAGUCCUCAUAAUUGGGAUUCAUGCCCUUGUAAAAGAGGCUCCAGAGAGCUGCCUUGUCUCUUCUGCCAUGUGAGGACACAGUGAGAAGGAAGCCAUCUAUGAAUCAGGAAGCAGGCCCUCACCAGACACUGAAUCUGCUGGUGUUUUGAGGUUGGAAUUCCCAGCAUUCAGAGCUGUAAGAAAUAAAUUUGCUGUUUUUAAGCCACCCAGUCAAUGACCUUUCAUUACAGCAGCUCAGACUUACUAAGACAUCCAUUCUUAAGGCUAUAACAAUUAAUAAGAUGAGGAUAUCUCUUAGGUAGGCCUACUCUUGGAGCUGCCUCUACCAGAAAAUAAACGUAUACAAACUCAAUAGGCAGAAUAUUAAUGAAAAAAUACUAAUCUGAACUCUCUCCCAUGGUAUAAGGCCCAAAACCCAGGAACAGUACCAAUAUCCCAAACUAGCUGUUUGCAACAACCUGCAUGUCAGAACUUGCCUAAAUGAAUGGAAACCACUCAGAGGAAAUGGUAUCAACGUCAAGGAAGUACCUCAUUCCCUAGAAUCCAAAGUUUUCAUUAGAGUAGACCCAUACAAUCUCUGCUUUUCCAGUUCUUUAACAAAACGCUUCCUAGAGAAAACAACCUUCAUGGAAGAUCACUUCACAGUCCCCUGCACCUCUGAAGUCUAUCAAUGGGAUCAAGACAGAAGACCAAGAGGCCAUGCAAAGGAUUGUAUCAUUUCUACCCAUUGUAUAAUGUCAUAGCUUCAGACUUCAUCCCAAGGUGUAUAAGAAAUAGGCCAUGUUGAAUCUGUUAGUCUAUUAUGAACAAAUGCUAUUGAUGUUUCUGUCAUGCAGUGCCUCUUACAAUAAUGAUGAUGAUAAUAAUUUAAAAAAUAAUCUCACCUGGGAAAUCAACUCUAUACUCUCAUGCUAGAAAUGGCUUUUUCUGAGAAACUGGUAAGGAACUUCCUUCCAAAGGGCGAGACUUAGAUACAGGACUUUGUCUCCUUUUGGCUCUGAUUGUCAAGAAACUCAAGUCAUCUUUGAAGCAAAUACAGCAACUAUGAGAACUUUUGCAGCCCUACUUUCUUGCCUCAAUUUCUUACUUUUUUUUCUAUUUUCCCUUGUUGCUGAUUUUGCUACUCAUAAUUAUUUUACAACAGGCAUGCUUCUUGUAAGCCUCUCCAGAUGUUCUUCAUAACAAAAAGGGAUAGAAAUAAACAAAUCAACAAAUUAUAAAAUGGCUCUAGUGGGGCUGAUCUGAGCAGUGAGUUCUGGGGAUGAAAUGCACUAAGUCCAGAGGUUCUUAACCUUGUGUGUGUGGAUGGGCUUCCAAGAAACCUUGAACCGCUUCAAAGAGAACGCAAAAUCACAGGUGCUUUUUCCCUGGGUCUCCAGCUUGCACAACCACCUUUUAAGGUUAAGAAACACUGCCCUAGGUCUCAACAGCAGGGGAAGACCAAGAAUCUUGGCCAUCUAAGUGGAGCAAGGAUAGAGAGCCAGUGAGGUAUAACAAAAGGCUACGUCAGCCCCGGGCUUUUAACAACCCGGUGUUUUGGUGAGCAGUCUUUGUUAUCCGAGUUGGACCAUGGCAUUAUUCAUUUGGUUGCGUAUUAACCUACCAGAUGGUCUGUUGUAGUUAACAAGGGCCGGCUGCUGUUGUUGCUGCGUCUGUGGUUGCGGCGGCUGCUGCUGCGGCUG
rnacentral:lncRNA from 10 species